rnacentral:rRNA from 1 species
UAGGGAUCUUCCACAAUGGGCGCAAGCCUGAUGGAGCAACACCGCGUGAGUGAAGAAGGGUUCGGCUCGUAAAGCUCUGUUGUUAAAGAAGAACACGUAUGAGAGUAACUGUUCAUACGUUGACGGUAUUUAACCAGAAAGUCACGGCUAACUACGUGCCAG